UUAUGAUUGGUGGUUGUAGUAAAUGACUUAAGUGAUCUCAAGACAUCAAUAUUAUUGUUUGGCAAACAUUCUGCUACUCAUGCUUAACAAGAACCCUUAAUUGUUUUAAAUUGACUGUGAUCCUGUGAGGGUUUGGGACGAAGAACAAGAGAACCCAAGCGCAGACGAUGUCGGGGAAAUGAACAAUGAACAUUUAACCACAGAAAACAAAAAGCCCACGUGGGGGCAACACAACAUGAAGCAUGAUAUACGAGAACACUGACAUAACAUUAUCAACUAGACUUGGAUAUAAAACUAAACUGAAAUCAAACACAAACUUUGCACAAUACAGCACGCCAGUACACAAUGAACCAGCACAAGACAAGGGACAAGACUGGAGAUUAAAUAGGGAAAAAACCGAGGGCAACAUAUGUGAGUGGGAUAACUGAUAAUGAAUAAUUAACAGGGAGAACAAGGGGGCGGGGACUAGAAACGAGACACUAGAGGCACAUGACCCAAUAUACAAGGCCAUGAGCCUCCACAUAGAACAUGAGGCUGUCAGAACCCUGCCAUCAUGAUAAAACAUAAAUAUAAAACAAGACUCUUAUGGCAGGAUCCUGACAGAUCCUAAAUCCCCUCAGGGCCUAUUGCUUUAGUUGAUAUAUUAACUAUCAUACAGUAAUGCAUUUUGCAGAUGCUUUUUUUCAAAGCAUCUUAUAGUGCAUUACAAGCUAUACAUUUUUAUCAACUUGUGUUCCCUGGGUUUAAACCCGUGACCUUUUGCACUGCAAAUGCAAUGCUCUUCCACUGAGCUAUACAGGAGCACUUUUUAACUUGGAAUUCAUCUCAAUAGUGUCUCUUGCUUUAUAUUGAUAAUAAACUGUUUUGUUUUUGUAUCUGUAUGUUUUCCAGCUCGUCUGCCCAUUCCUGUCAUCACCACACAAAACUCUUCAUCAUCAAAAAGUUCAUCAAGUUCAAACUGUGUCUUUGUGUGCUCAGUGUUCAGUGCUCAGAAUGUGAGAGAUGUGAAUCUGUCCUGGUAUAAAGGAAACAGUUUAUUGUCCAGCAUCAGUGUGUCUGAUCUCAACAACAACAUCUCUCUUCAUCUGGAGUGUCUGAAUGAUUCAUACAGCUGUGUGGUGAACAAUCCCAUCAGAAAUCAGACUCAACAUCUCUACACCACUCAUCUCUGUCAGACGUGUUCAGUUUGCAUUUGUGGUGCUCUUGUGGUCCGAUUGGUCAUCUCAGCUGUUGUGGGUGUGGCUACUGUUGCUGUUCUGGUUUAUGACGUCAGGUCGAGCAGAGAUAAACAGAAGAAAAGUUCACAGACCCCAUCAGACCAUCACUGAUAAAUUGUAGUGUCUAGUUCCUCCAAAUUGUAACAUUGUAAAACAAUUUUUCUGUUACCUUUCCUGUAAGAAAGUUUUACAUAUUGCCAUGAAUACCAGUGCACGAUUAAUGCAUUGUAAGUCAUGUUGGAUAAAAUUUUAAUGUGUAUAUUUUUUUUUAAAUUUCGAUUCGGCAUUGUGCAUUUGGCAUUUGUCUUGUAAUUAUUUGGUGUCGUACAGGAUCAUGUAAUUCUCUGUUUUUGUCUGUUGUAUAAAAAAGACUAUCACAAAUCA